rnacentral:rRNA from 1 species
UACGGAGGAUGCAAGCGUUAUCCGGAAUGAUUGGGCGUAAAGCGUCCGCAGGUGGCAAUGUAAGUCUGCUGUCAAAGCGUCUGGCUCAACCAGAUAAAGGCAGUGGAAACUACAUAGCUAGAGUAAGGUAGGGUUAGAGGGAAUUCCUGGUGUAGCGGUGAAAUGCGUAGAGAUCAGGAAGAACACCGGUGGCGAAAGCGCUCUGCUGGACCUUAACUGACACUGAGGGACGAAAGCUAGGGGAGCGAACGGG